GGGGGGGGACACACACAAAGCCAUUGGGAUGAGUGGGGGGGCACAGCACCAUAACCGCCCCCCCCCCAUAUCACAGCACCCCAUAGGGAUGGAGACAAUGGGGAACCCCAUAAGGACAGCCCCAAUGGGGGGACACAAAUGGGACCCCCCCCCAGGAGAAGCACAUUGUGCCAUAGAGACACUCAAAUGAUGCCCCCCCCACCCCAUGGCCAUAAGGGACCCUUUAUCCGCCCCCACCUCCCCCCCCCAACUGACGUCACUGUGCCCUAUAGCGUGGUUGUGGGGUGGGGGGGGGUCGUGGUGCCCCACAAUGGGCCCUUUGUGGAGGGCGGGGGUGGGGGGCACCGUGGGGCAGCGCUGUGGGGUGGAGCUGCCAUGGCCCCAAAUGGACCCUGGGGUGGGGGUGGGCAGAAACAGGCAGCUCCCAGUGCCACCAUACCAGUAUAGCCCAGUAUAUCCCAGUAUGUCCCAGUAUAUCCCAGUGCCACCAUCCCAGUGUAUCCCAGUAUGUCCCAGUAUAUCCCAGUGCCACCAUCCCAGUGUAUCCCAGUAUGUCCCAGUAUGUCCCAUUCCAUCCCAUAUAUCCCAUAUAUCUCAUAUAUCCCAGUAUGUCCCAGAGCCACCAUCCCAGUAUAUCCCAGUAUGUCCCAGUAUAUCCCAGUAUAUCCCAGUAUAUCCCAGUAUGUCCCAGUAUGUCCCAUUCCAUCCCAUAUAUCCCAUAUAUCUCAUAUACCCCAGUAUAUCCCAGUGCCUCCAUCCCAGUAUAUCCCAGUAUAUCCCAUUCCAUCCCAUAUAUCCCAGUAUAUCCCAGUGCCUCCAUCCCAGUAUAUCCCAGUAUAUCCCAGUCCACCCCAGUGCAUCCCAGUGCCACUAUCCCAGUGUGUCCCAUCCCAUCCCAGUAUGUCCCAGUACAUCCCAGUGUGUCUCACCCCAGUACAUCCCAUCCCAUCCCAGUACAUCCAUCCCAGUAUGUCCCGGUCCCAUCAUCCCAGUAUAUCCCAGUCCAUCCCAGUAUAUCCCAUUGCCACCCUCCCAGUCCAUCCCAGUUCAUCCCAGUUCCAUCCCAGUUUAUCCCAGUUUAUCCCAGUCCCAUCCCAGUUUAUCCCAGUUUAUCCCAGUUUAUCCCAUUGCCACCAUUCCAGUAUAUCCCAGUAUAUCCCAGUGUAUCCCAGUCCAUCCCAGUACAUCCCAGUAUCACCAUCCCAGUAUAUCCCAGUGUAUCCCAGUACCUCCUUCCUAGUGUAUCCCAUUGCCACCACCCCAGUGUAUCCCAGUGUAUCCCAGUACCACUCUCCCAGUAUAUCCUAUUGCCACCACCCCAGUAUAUCCCAGUAU
rnacentral:lncRNA from 1 species